GGGCACGCCUCGCCCCUCGGGGAGCACUCCAGGGCCCGCCGCCUGCCCCCUGUGGCGUCUCCGUAGCCCCGCCAGCCGCAGCCCCCUACCCGGUACCUGGCGGCGCGUCUCUCCUCUUCCUUCCGUCCCCGGCAGAACACGCGGAACUGGGGGGAAACGUCCAGCCAAAGCCCCGGUAGCGCCAGUUCUACACCGGUUUCCACCAGCACCGCUCCCCUCUUCCCGUUUAACCCCGGCUGUGUCUCUCCCCGGGAGAGCGGCUUCUCCCUGGGACCUUCCACCGGGACCCAUCACCGCCCGUCGCGUCAGCCGGAGCCCCACGGGGCCGGUUCUGGGCGAUGACCCCCGUACGGAGCGUCCCGAGCAGCAAAGCCGGGGGCAGCCCCAGACCCGGCACUGACGGGCGCCCCGAGGCUCCCGGCGGGGCUUUGUACGGCCGGUGCUGGUGCCGCUGCAGAACAGACCCGGCUGUACGUGGACAGCCUGGGAACGCAUUCCCUGCUCCAUCCCCUGAGGAGGACAUCUUUCUACAGCUGGUUGCCACUGUAAGGGGAAAAAGACUUUGCAUUCUUGCUGAGAUUGUUUGGCUGGCAACACAGGAUGACGCACGAGCUGCCAUUGGGAACAAUACACAAUUUAUCCAACAUAUUGGUGUGAGAGAAGGGAAAAGGGAAGAAAAAUGAUUUUCUCCACAUAUUAAGUGUGAAAGGGUAGUAUCUUCUUUUUUCUGUGUUGCUCACUUAAAAAAUUGUGUGCUGUGACCUAUAAUCCUGUCUGCCCUUGGCCUGUAGCAGUAGCAUCUAUAAAUGCAGAGGAAAUGAGCACUGCAGCUUUUAUCAGAGAAAUCUCUUUGGAUUAGUUAAGUAAUAGGAGGAAGAGGUUUCUGGGAGGUAGAUAGAUAAAGACCUGUCCCAAAGCCCCAGGCGAGGCAGUGGGAAGGCUCAGCUGUUACUUUAGAGGCUUAGCAUAUGCUGCUAAGCCUGCAGAGCAGCAAAAUGUAUUGCAUUUUGUGGCUUUUUUGUCAUUACUGUAUCAAAGUGCUUGGACUUGAAUGAGUGAUUAUCUGUGUAUUUGUAAAGUGCCAAAAUGCCCUGGUUGUUCUGUGGCCCAUGACCAGCUCGCAUCCAAGAGUUGCAUGAGUCUUCAUUUAAUUGAGUUUAUGGAGGGCUGAUAACUCCUUACAAAAUAAGGCUGGAAAUCACAGAAUCGCAGACUGGUUUGGGUUGGAAGGGACCUUAAAGAUCACCAGUUUCUACCUCCCUGCCCGUACCACUUAAAAAUCUGGCCUGGUUGGAAUCUUAUCAAGUACUUUGUCUUCAGACAUCUUCAUGAUGUCUGAUUAUUUAGCCUUUUUAAUUUUUCUCCUAGGAAAUAGCAAGGUUUUUUCAGUUGAGAAGGAAGAAUUAAACUUUUGGGUGAAAAAUCUCACAGCCAAAAACUGUUUCUUUGGGGUUUUUAAAUCAGCCUUCACAAAUCACGAGGCUUCCAAAAGCCUCCUCCAAGGCAAAGCUCCUUUUGCCAUCUCUGUUCUUUGUCCUCAUGGGACAAAGGGUAAAACAGAAUGGGCCAUAUUGAUAUGUACCUGCUUCAUGACUACACAUACAGCCAAAUAUGCUAUCGAUUUCAGUUGUGCAUUCCUAACCAGCUGGAGUGUAUAUAAAUAAUAAGCUUACUACAUCUGAAAGAGAACUGACCUGCUGUGCAAUUACUAUCUUUAACAGAUAAAUUGUGGAUUUGUCAGAGAUGAGAUGGACUCAGUGUUAGGCUUCAGGAUAACCUUAGCAACAAAGUAUUCUGCUGUUCAGAAGCCCACGUGGAACACAUUUCAUCUCUGGCAGGAUUUCCCCAAUUUCUGUAGAUUUAAAGCAGGAAUUGGUUGUCCUCCCAGUGUUUCGAACCAGGUAGGAGGUCAGCAGCCCAAUGAUAAAUUGGAUAAUGUGUUAAUGCACGUUAAAAUAUAUACAGUCCCAAUGCCUUGAUGUAAUAUUCCUUUUUCCCUCUACCAGACUUUGAGCUCAAGAAGUCGAUAGGUUAAUCAUCUAACUCAACUCUCAAGGAUUGAAUGUACUGUGUACACAGUCCCUCAGCUCAUUGCUCACACAGAGAUAUAAAAAGUGAAGGCCAUACUGUGUAUUAUAUCUAAAUUAAAGCCUUUUUCAUCACCCAUACCAGAGUGAAGCUUUAGUUUUACACCACACUCUCAUUUAUUCUUAGGAUCUUAUCUAUUAUUCUGCUGGCAAAUGUUUAUUAGACAAAUACAACCUUUUACUUCACAAGGAAGAGAAGUGCAUCAGUCUAACUUGAUUAUUUAUUUAUGCCUAUUUAGUCUGCUGAAAAGGGGUAAUUUUCUGUUCACAGCUCUGGCAGUGGUUAUUUUGAGGAGUAGCAAAACAGUCCCUGGCAUCACCCUUCUGGCCUGGAACUGGCAUUCUCUCUUUGUAUAAUAAAACCAGUAACCUCUCCAGUACAUCUGGACUUCAGUACAUGAAGCUCAUGAACGUUUUGUCAUCUGCACAAAGGUCACCCAGGCUGCAACAAUAAUUGAUGUUGAAUGAAUGAACAGGACAGGCAACCAGAAAAGGGAGUAAAUGGAAUGUGGCUGAAGACGCUUCCUUCUGGUCACUUGGGUCAGAACUGGUUGGCAUUCCAAAUAUCCAGGCAGAAGCAACACGAGUCCAACCGCAAGGAGACCCAGGAACCGCAUGACCACGGAAGGACACGUGAUGGCGACAGCCAGAAUCCAGAUGAGCACAAUACUGGCUAUGGCAGUUGCACUGGUCAGCUUCUGCUUGAACGGGUCAACGAUGCACCGGAACCUGUGUCAAUGGUGGAUGUGGAGAAGCCGUUUAAGGAAUGCUGAGUCUAAC